GCAUUCAUCAUAAACAAGCAACCAACCAACAGCAAAUAGAAUCAAUCAUAAUCUCUAGAAUCAAAAUCCACGAGGGUAACAAUAUAAAAGGAAAAACACAGUCCAAAAUGCAAAUUAAUAUAAUAACUCAACAACGUAGAAGAAGAACAUUUCUGUUCAGCUUUCGAGCUUCAACAUCUGUGGGUUAUCUUAACAUUUUAUGAUCACCACGAUUGGCCACUGCAAUGGACGACCACCUUGCAGCCAUCAGACAGAGUGGGGCAAAGCUUGUGAAGAUAUGCAAAAGCAUAAGAAGCCUCCUUCGAUGGAAAAAUGCCUUCCAACUUAAAAUACAGAUUGCGAGCUUCCCUUACCUCCAUAUCAGUCACUGUGUAAAAUUCAACUUUCCCCAUCUCCUUCAGAAAGUUCAAUGGAUGGGGGAGUAUGAGGCAACAUUUGAGCAGGGCUCGAGUGAAUUUAAGUAAAGUAGUUCAAGAAAUGGUAUUUUACUUACCCUUCACCUAUAGAAUGAGGUAGCAUAAUUUUUGGUGCAGUGUGCAUUAUUCCAUUAUAAGGCUGGACUAGGAUCAACCUCACAUCCUUAUCUUUUUGGAUGAAAUGGUCAAGGAAGAGUUUCAAAACAUUUGAGGCAGUACACUCAAUUGAGCCCAAAAUUAGGACAUCUGCUGUGCUGUUCAAUGUGUCAAUGCCUUGUUUCUUCGUCUCUUGAAAUUGGUUGGUCUCUUCAUCCCUAACUACCACAAGAAGGCUGGUUUUCGACUUCCUUAUCAACUCUUUUUUUGCCUCCAAUACUGCUUGUUUCAAGUUUCCCUCUACCCAUUUCACCUGAUUCUCACUUAACCAAAUAUUAAUAAUCUAACCCACAUUUUGUAUUCGUACCCAAAAAAAAAUAUAUUUUUUGAUGCAUCUUAGAUUGUACCUGUUGUUAUGUAGUUCACUAAAAUGUCUAAUUAUAAUGUACCUGAGCACCUAACGAAGUGAUUAACUGCACAUUUGAAGACUGCUUAUUGAUAUGAUCUUCAGAUCCCAUGAAAAUGGUGCAAUCUAAACCAUGUCUGUGGCAAGCAGCUGCAGUGAUAAUCCCGUACUGCUGGCCUUGGCCGCCCCCAGUGGCCGCAAUCACGCUCUUUCCCAUGCGCUUCGCGGCCAUAACCUUUAUGAUGACACUGCUAAUGAUCUUGUGGUCACGAAACGGGUUGAUCACAUCUCCAUCUCUUUUUAUGUAAAUUUCAGGACCCCUUCCCUCUUCGUUUCUGUACUGAUUUGUUAGUCUCUCCGCAUAACACACCUCCAUCUCUCGCCCAGCAAAAACCCUCAUCUCCUCCACCACCUCCUCCUGCAAUAUGCCAAAAUCAUUAAAAUACCAUUUUGAUUUUCUUAA